rfam:Oryza glaberrima chromosome 2 Oglab02_0060_4, whole genome shotgun sequence.
CCUGCCACUCAUGUGUGGUAUUUGAAAUGUCUUUCUAGUUAUAUCGCGAAUCUUCUAUAUAAACCCCACAGGUGGUGCAUGGCUGUCGUCAGCUCGUGUUGUAAGGUGUUGGUUUAAGUCUCGCAACAAGCGCAACCCUCAUGUUUAGUUGCCACUAUGAGUUUGGAACCUUGAACAGACCGCCGAUGUUAAGCCGGAGGAAUGAGAGGAUGAGAGCUUUUCCUAUAAUUGUUGG